UUUACAAUUGAGGGAAUGUCGAUGGUCCCUAGGGCUCCACGACUCAACCUCGCUCGGAAUGUGAGCUGACCUUUGUUUCUUGCAUUCUGAAUUUAACGAACCCCGGCGCAAAUAGUGCCAAGGAAUAAAAACCAAAAGAACUUUACCCUUCAACCUGUUGGACGGGAUGCUAGGGCCUUGUUUGAGUAAAAUCAUAACGACUCUCGGCAACGGAUAUCUCGGCUCUCGCAUCGAUGAAGAACGUAGCAAAAUGCGAUACUUGGUGUGAAUUGCAGAAUCCCGUGAAUCAUCGAGUCUUUGAACGCAAGUUGCGCCCAAAGCCUUUAGGUCGAGGGCACGUCUGCCUGGGCGUCAUUCGUUGCGAUGCCCACAUACAAAGUUGUGGGGUGAAACUUGGCCUCCCGUUAGCUCCAACUCGCGGAUGGCUUAAAUAUGAGCCUCAAGAUGGAAAAAUGUCUUGACAAGUGGUGGUUGAAGGGCAUCAGCCUUAGAACUUAGCAUGUCAAGACCUUUCCCCUUUAUCUCUCUAAAAAGAACUAAAAGGAGUCCGUUAAACGUUCUUCUAGCAUCGUGACCCCAGGUCAGGCGGGACUACCCGCUGAG
rnacentral:rRNA from 1 species